CCUAAGCUGGGCGAUGGCGUCCGCCUGGGCUUCGAGCCCAAACCGCCCGCAAUGGGCUAAUGACGCCUGUUCUCAC
rnacentral:ncRNA from 2 species